rnacentral:misc_RNA from 1 species
GAGUUCAUGCCCUUACGGGUAGAUCUCCCACCCUUUGUAUACUAUACCUUUGUUGCUUUGGCGGGCCGCCUAGCUACUGGCUUCGGCUGGUAUGUGCCCGCCAGAGGACCCAAAACCCUGAAUUAUUAGUGUCGUCUGAGUAAAAUAUUUAAUAUUUAAAACUUUCAACAACGGAUCUCUUGGCUCU